UACGUAGGUGGCGAGCGUUGUCCGGAAUUACUGGGUGUAAAGGGAGCGUAGGCGGGAGUGCAAGUUGAAUGCUAAAUCUAUCGGCUCAACCGAUAGCCGCGUUCAAAACUGCAUUUCUUGAGUGAAGUAGAGGUUGGCGGAAUUCCUAGUGUAGCGGUGAAAUGCGUAGAUAUUAGGAGGAACACCAGUGGCGAAGGCGGCCAACUGGGCUUUUACUGACGCUGAGGCUCGAAAGCGUGGGGAGCAAACAGGAUUAGAUACCCUGGUAGU
rnacentral:rRNA from 1 species